GGGCCGAUCCGGAAUCAGAUAUUGCACUUUUUCACAGUUUGGGUGUGUGGAACCUAAAAGAGAAAAGAAAAAGAAAAAGGAAAAUCUAAGAUAAACAUUUUCAUUUUCGUUUUCUCGCUUUUUUCCCAUACACCUGCGAUUCUCCCACAAAUAUCUCCCAACAGAGUUCCCUAAUUCUUCUACUUCGUCUUCUUCCUCCCCACGUUUCUCUCCUUCGCUCUUGACUCCGAUCCCCACCCAAUUCCCCAUUUGACCCCAUUCCGAUUUUACUCAGAGAUCCUGUUAGUUUGGUUUUUUUUUUUUUUUGAAAUCUUUGAAGGCGAUUUUUGGUUUUUGAUUGAGGGUGUGUGAUUUUGUGGGGUGGGAGAUGGGGGAGGAGGUGAAGAUGAGCGAUUACGAGGUUGGCUGCGACGAGGAGAGGGUGCUGGAGUGGGAGAUGGGUCUGCCGAGCGCCGACGAUCUGACGCCGCUGUCCCAGUCGCUGGUUCCGCCGGAGCUGGCCUCGGCUUUCAGCAUCUCGCCGGAGCCCAGCCGGAGCCUCGUCGAUGUGAAUCGCGCGUCGCAGACCACGCUGUCCGGUCUCCGCGGGCAAGCGCAGGGGCAGGCCUUUUCGUCGAACGCUUUCAAGUCAUUCAAUGACUGCGACCGCGACAGGGAUCCGAUGGUGGUGGAGGGGGAGGAGGCGGACAGAGACGGGUCUGAUUCGAGGAAGGUGAGGAAAAUCGACUGCGCGGAGGAGGCGGAUUCGGCGCUGCGAGUGGACAAUUCGGCGGACGAUCCGUCUGCACGGACGCUGAAGAGGCCGCGACUGGUGUGGACGCCGCAGCUCCACAAGCGGUUCGUCGACGUGGUGGCGCAUCUGGGCAUUAAGAACGCCGUGCCCAAAACGAUUAUGCAGCUGAUGAACGUCGACGGAUUGACCCGCGAGAACGUGGCCAGCCACCUCCAGAAGUACAGGCUUUUCCUCAAGAGAAUGCAGGGGCUGCCGAGCGAGGGCCCGUCUUCGGCGGACCAACUCUUCGCGUCCACCCCUGUUCCACAGAGCCUGCACGACUCCGGCGGCGCUCCGGUGAAUGGGCACGCGAACGGGCAUAUGCCGCUUCCUAUUCCGAUGCAUUACAGGCCGCCGCCGAUGAUGCCCAUGCCGGUCCUUGGUCAUGGCCACAUGGGGAUGGCCGUCAGUAACCAUGGUUCAGCUGCUAAUUAUCAUGGGUUUGAGUCCAAUCCUUAUACCAUGUUGCAGCAGAGAGAUUGGUCUGGGAAUAAAUUUGGGUCGGUUGUUUCGUAUCCCCAUGUCACUCCUAAUGAUAAAUGAAACUCAUCACUCUUGGAAGAGAAGUUUGAUCAACUCAGCAGAAGCUUAAGUUUUGGAACUCAUCUGUUAAAGGUAGCUUGAUUGGUAGUCGUUUGCACAGACGUGGAAAGGUUUCUCAUGGAUUACAUGGCCCGUGGAAGGGUUCAAGCUUAUUCCAGUAUGAUUUAGGACAUGAAGGAUGAUAUUUAUCUGUUGAGAUGAGAAGAAUAGAUGCAGCUGCACGAUACUACAACCGUAUCAAUAUUAGCUUUGGAUUAAUCUGUUAUGACGUUUCUGUCAUGAUGCAUCUACUUCUGCACCUUAAGUCAGUCUGGAUGACUGGUGAGUGAUUAUGUAAGUUGACUGUUCCUCUCCCUCCUGGUGAUAGAUAUCUCUGGAAGCAAUGUGGCCUGCCUCUCUUCAACAGAAAAAUGUUGUGUAAGAUGGCCAUAGCCAUCUCUUAAACCUUUUUUCAACGUCAAUAUCUUCGGCCCAGGCCUAGAAAUGUUUGCGCUUAUCCACUUCUACUUACAAUUCAAUCUUCUGUGCAAUCAGUGGGCUUCAGAUGAGUUAAUUUGAAUUGAAAAUGUUGAAAUCAUAAGAGAUUUUACAGUCUUGAAUGCAUUGCAAGGAGAUAAGCAAAUCAGAAGUCAAUGGUAUGUGGAAGUGAAGGAGUUUUGCCAAAAAAAAAAAAGAGCAUCUCACUGCCAUUGGUAUUUUCAUAGAACGGAGAAGGCACACAGGAUGAUGGCUUUGGUUGGAUGCUUAAGUUACUGGUUUUGAGCUUCGAAGAAAGGAAUUUUUUUCCUAUGCUUUCAUAAAAAAGCUUGGUUAAUUUGACCCCUUUUUAUUUUUUAUUUUUUAUAUUCUGGAUUGGUGGCUCCUAUCCUAUUCCUCUGCUUUGCGAUUGUACCAGUGUUCUAAGAGCAUUUUAGUGGUGUGUAGCUUAUUUUAUGAGAUUCUUUAAUAAGAAAAUGAAAGGACUUUAUCAGCA